UUUAAUGGGGUGGCCUCAAAUAUCUGACGGAGAGAUAAUUUCAUCGGUCAAAAUGUGUAGUAUCUUAUUCAUUAUCAGUGUAAUAAAUAUAAAAGGACAAAUCAGUCCAAAUUUAUAACGUACCAACAAAAGAAAAGUGACACUAAACAAAGUGACAAAAUUGUAUAGGCAACCAAUAUUACAUAGCAAUCCAGAGAAUAAAUUCCUGCUAUAGUUUCAUACCAAACUCCAGCAAACCAAAAUAAAGAAUAAUAACUUAUCUGCAAGCAUAAAACCAAAUACCAGCCAAAGAACAUUAUUCAAUCCAACACGAAACAAUAUUCAGAACAACAAUAUGAUAAACAAAUAAAGAGAAAAGAGGCAUCGUUAGAGCGCAGAAAUGCAUAGAUAUGUUUUUAAGAAAAUAAAGCUUAAUAACUAAAAUCGGAGGCAACAAAUGCUGUCAGUGGCGUCGCUUCGAUGGUUUCCACCAGAGCAGCACCGGAGGAAACAAAAUCUAGCUUAGAUCUAUCCUUGUAUGGUGAGGCAGCGAUGGUUUGUUUUGACAAAAGGAUCGCCCGCCGGUGACCAAUUCUGACGAGGCACGGGGAAAGGGGAAGGAAAAGAGGAAAAUGGGGAUUUCUGCCAGAGUCGUUGUCGGCUGGUGGUGUGGUUGUCGCCGUUGGAGGUUUGAGGGUGGCUGGUCAUUGGGAGUUUGAGGGUGGUGGUAGCCGUGUGGUGGUGGCGUGGCUGGAUCUCGCUGGUCACAACUCCGAAAAGCCAGCAGCGGUAAAGAUCAAGAAGAGGCGGUGCGUGUGGCGUUGUUUCGCUGGAUUCCAACAUUGGAGCAACAUAUGAGGUGGUUGUCUGGUCCUGAGAAAGAGAAAAUGAGGAAAAAAGAAAGGGGAAACGGGCUGUGUAUGUAUUUGUGCGUGUUUUGUGGAUUUUUAGAGAAAAAAAAAAUAGAUGUGUGUGUUUUUUGUGUAUAUUUUGGAAGGGAAAAUAAAAAUUGAUUUUAAUGUUUAAAAGAAAAAAGAUGAACCAAAUUAGUGUGUA
rnacentral:lncRNA from 1 species